GGGGGCGUAAAGGCUUCGACAGGAGUUAGUCUUUGAAUAAAGAAGCGAGCCGAGGUCCGGGCUGCCUCGUUAAACUGACCGGGCGUUAAACUUAAACGCAAACGAACCUGUAGCAUUAGCCGCCUAAUCUAGCGCGGCUACGCCGCCUAAUGUUUGUCCGUGGCAUUAGAUCCGGCGUCGCUAAGCGGACUACCGACCAGCUGAAGUCUGUAGGCUGAGAGGGAAACCUUGCAGGCUGGCUUGGCUUAAAGAUUGCUUAUGACCUUAAGUUAAGUAAGAUUUAAUCAUAAGCUACGCUCGUAGAGGCUUUAUUCGGGAGCUUCUGGACUCGGGUUCGAUUCCCGACGCCUCCACCA
rnacentral:tmRNA from 1 species